rnacentral:rRNA from 1 species
GAAUGCUGACAUAAGUAACGAUAAAGCGGGUGAAAAGCCCGCUCGCCGGAAGACCAAGGGUUCCUGUCCAACGUUAAUCGGGGCAGGGUGAGUCGACCCCUAAGGCGAGGCCGAAAGGCGUAGUCGAUGGGAAACGGGUUAAUAUUCCCGUACUUGGUGUUACUGCGAAGGGGGGACGGAGAAGGCUAUGUUGGCCGGGCGACGGUUGUCCCGGUUUAAGCGUGUAGGUGUGUGUUCCAGGUAAAUCCGGUUCACUUUAACACUGAGGCGUGAUGACGAGGCACUACGGUGCUGAAGCAACAAAUGCCCUGCUUCCAGGAAAAGCCUCUAAGCAUCAGGUAACAUCAAAUCGUACCCCAAACCGACACAGGUGGUCAGGUAGAGAAUACCAAGGCGCUUGAGAGAACUCGGGUGAAGGAACUAGGCAAAAUGGUGCCGUAACUUCGGGAGAAGGCACGCUGACACGUAGGUGAAGUGAUUUACUCACGGAGCUGAAGUCAGUCGAAGAUACCAGCUGGCUGCAACUGUUUAUUAAAAACACAGCACUGUGCAAACACGAAAGUGGACGUAUACGGUGUGACGCCUGCCCGGUGCCGGAAGGUUAAUUGAUGGGGUCAGCGCAAGCGAAGCUCCUGAUCGAAGCCCCGGUAAACGGCGGCCGUAACUAUAACGGUCCUAAGGUAGCGAAAUUCCUUGUCGGGUAAGUUCCGACCUGCACGAAUGGCGUAAUGAUGGCCAGGCUGUCUCCACCCGAGACUCAGUGAAAUUGAACUCGCUGUGAAGAUGCAGUGUACCCGCGGCAAGACGGAAAGACCCCGUGAACCUUUACUAUAGCUUGACACUGAACAUUGAGCCUUGAUGUGUAGGAUAGGUGGGAGGCUUUGAAGUGUGGACGCCAGUCUGCAUGGAGCCGACCUUGAAAUACCACCCUUUAAUGUUUGAUGUUCUAACGUGGACCCGUUACCCGGGUUGCGGACAGUGUCUGGUGGGUAGUUUGACUGGGGCGGUCUCCUCCUAAAGAGUAACGGAGGAGCACGAAGGUUGGCUAAUCCUGGUCGGACAUCAGGAGGUUAGUGCAAUGGCAUAAGCCAGCUUGACUGCGAGCGUGACGGCGCGAGCAGGUGCGAAAGCAGGUCAUAGUGAUCCGGUGGUUCUGAAUGGAAGGGCCAUCGCUCAACGGAUAAAAGGUACUCCGGGGAUAACAGGCUGAUACCGCCCAAGAGUUCAUAUCGACGGCGGUGUUUGGCACCUCGAUGUCGGCUCAUCACAUCCUGGGGCUGAAGUAGGUCCCAAGGGUAUGGCUGUUCGCCAUUUAAAGUGGUACGCGAGCUGGGUUUAGAACGUCGUGAGACAGUUCGGUCCCUAUCUGCCGUGGGCGCUGGAGAACUGAGGGGGGCUGCUCCUAGUACGAGAGGACCGGAGUGGACGCAUCACUGGUGUUCGGGUUGUCAUGCCAAUGGCACUGCCCGGUAGCUAAAUGCGGAAGAGAUAAGUGCUGAAAGCAUCUAAGCACGAAACUUGCCCCGAGAUGAGUUCUCCCUGAGACUUAGAGUCUCCUGAAGGAACGUUGAAGACGACGACGUUGAUAGGCCGGGUGUGUAAGCGCAGCGAUGCGUUGAGCUAACCGGUACUAAUGAACCGUGAGGCUUAACCUUACA